AGGAUGAACGCUGGCGGCGUGCCUAAUACAUGCAAGUCGAGCGAGGUAGCAAUACCCGAGCGGCGAACGGGUGAGUAACACGUAGGUAACCUGCCUUGAGACUGGGAUACCCGGACGAAAGUUCGGCUAAUACCGGAUAACAACGGGGACGGCAUCGUCUCCGCUUGAAAGGUGCGUUUGCACCACUCUUAGAUGGACCUGCGGCACAUUAGCUAGUUGGUGAGGUAACGGCCCACCAAGGCGAAGAUGUGUAGCCGACCUGAGAGGGUGAACGGCCACAAUGGAACUGAGACACGGUCCAUACUCCUACGGGAGGCAGCAGUAGGGAGUUUUCGGCAAUGGGGGAAACCCUGACCGAGCAACGCCGCGUGAGUGAAGAAGGUCUUCGGAUUGUAAAGCUCUGUUACGAGGGACGAAUGACGAGUUCAGGAAAUGGGAUUCGUUUGACGGUACCUCGCCAGAAAGUGACGGCUAACUACGUGCCAGCAGCAGC
rnacentral:rRNA from 1 species